AGCUAACGCGUUAAGUCGACCGCCUGGGGAGUACGGCCGCAAGGUUAAAACUCAAAUGAAUUGACGGGGGCCCGCACAAGCGGUGGAGCAUGUGGUUUAAUUCGAUGCAACGCGAAGAACCUUACCUGGUCUUGACAUCCACGGAAGUUUUCAGAGAUGAGAAUGUGCCUUCGGGAACCGUGAGACAGGUGCUGCAUGGCUGUCGUCAGCUCGUGUUGUGAAAUGUUGGGUUAAGUCCCGCAACGAGCGCAACCCUUAUCCUUUGUUGCCAGCGGUCCGGCCGGGAACUCAAAGGAGACUGCCAGUGAUAAAGUGGAGGAAGGUGGGGAUGACGUCAAGUCAUCAUGGCCCUUACGACCAGGGCUACACACGUGCUACAAUGGCGCAUACAAAGAGAAGCGACCUCGCGAGAGCAAGCGGACCUCAUAAAGUGCGUCGUAGUCCGGAUUGGAGUCUGCAACUCGACUCCAUGAAGUCGGAAUCGCUAGUAAUCGUGGAUCAGAAUGCCACGGUGAAUACGUUCCCGGGCCUUGUACUCACCGCCCGUC
rnacentral:rRNA from 1 species